rnacentral:rRNA from 1 species
CGCCUUGUGACAAAAUAUACAAGGUCCAGCCUGCCCAGUGAUUUAUUUAACGGCCGCGGUACCCUAACCGUGCGAAGGUAGCACAAUCACUUGUUCCUUAAAUAGGGACUAGUAUGAAUGGCAUCACGAGGGUUAUUCUGUCUCCCCCUUUUAAUCAGUGAAACUGAUCUCCCCGUGAAGAAGCGGGGAUAUCAAUAUAAGACGAGAAGACCCCAUGGAGCUUUAAACUCAGAAACACCAGCUAUUUUUAAACCAAACCAAUACGCCUCCCUGAUUUCUAGUUUUCGGUUGGGGUGACCACGGAGUACAACACAACCUCCUUGAUGAAAGGAACUAUUUCCUUAUUUAAGAACUACAGUUCUAAAAAUCAAUACAUUGACAAAAAUUGAUCCAAAUUAUUUUGAUCAACGAACCAAGUUACCCUGGGGAUAACAGCGCAAUCCAUUUCAAGAGCUCAUAUCAACAAAUGGGUUUACGACCUCGAUGUUGGAUCAGGGUAUCCCAGUGGUGCAGCCGCUACUAAAGGUUCGUUUGUUCAACGAUUAAAACCCU